rnacentral:lncRNA from 1 species
GCGCGGCGGCGGCAGCGGGACGCGCGGCUCCCCCUGGCUGCGCGGCGGCGGCGGGAGGCGGCCGCGCUCUGAGGAGGAGCCGCCGCCGCCUCAUCCUGCGGCAGCGCGAGGAGCCCGGCGAGCGCAGGUGGCAGUGUAGAAGCCAAGAACAAAAAUUGGCAGAAAUAUUUUCUGUGUAUGAGAAAAYGAAGAGUGUACUCAUGACUAAGCACAGGAACCUGAAAAACCACAGGUUGAACUAUACUGAAAGGCCCUUCCCUCUACUGCAAAAGGGUCUUUUUUUUCAUAUCACACUCCAGGAGAGCAAAGAUGGUGCCAGGGCAGCUACAACCACAGCUUCUACUGGAUCGGUGCCUGACUGAGGAAAGCAGGAAUUCAGGACUGCAGUCUCCAAGGCCUCUGACUAAACUCAUUAAAACUUGGACACAAAUAUUAAGCGGUUAGAUGCGUUGGCCCCGAUUCCCUCUCCUACCCAGACUCUGGCAAAUGCUUGGGAGUUUCCCCCCCGGGUCCUGAAUCUGGAGCUGCUGGGGUGUGAUUCAGUCCCAGGAGCACGGCAGGGCAACUCUUCCGUAUCCUCACCUGAGUAACCUGGACCAGGCAGAGCAUGGGCUGGGUUUCCUAAACCAGGCUCCAGGUUACCUGCACACAAUUUCAAGCCCCAGGCUGCCAGAGAGGAUGAUUUUGUGGGUGUUUUGUAUCACUGGUUAAUUCAUCUAGGUUCUAUUAAAAGACCCCAAAGACCUAAGGAACAGUGUAGAACACUAACAUCGGUAAAACAUUGAAGUUCAAAAUGUUUCAACAAAUUUCACUUGUAUUAAAAUAUAAGGGGUUCGUGGAUUGCUUUUUUAACUUUUAAAUGUAAAGGUACAUUUAAACAUAUCAUUACUUAUUUGUAAGUAUUGUUGUUUUAUAUGAGGUGGCUGACCUAGCAUGAGAAUUCUGGUUGGAUUCCAGAAUAACAAAAGUAAUUGUUCUUUCUUGACAGGCAUAUCUGUAUUCUUGCAUUUUACAUACUGACUACCCUUACACAAUUCUUGGCACAUGCCACACUUUUAAAGUGAACCGUUUUUAAUGCACCUUUAUUUUAUUCUAAAAAUAUCACUCAAUUAGAGAAAGAAACAAUUCGAAUGAAAGGAGUAAGUUAAAGGAAUGGUUUAAAGGUGCAAUCAUAAAUUGCUUGCUACUUUUCCUUCAAAAGGAGGUAGCUCAGGAAAAACAUUUCUUCUAACUGCCUAGGAGCUUUUGAAUCUCUGUCCAGAAUUAUAGGUAUCAUGGCCAUCCCUAGCUGUAGUUUAAAUUAUUAUAGUCAUAGAACAAUGUAUAAACUUUUUUUUUGUGCGUGUUAUACUUGGAUGAAAU